rnacentral:other from 1 species
GUUCACUGCCGUACAGGCAGCAUAGGGA